rnacentral:misc_RNA from 1 species
AGGGAAGGAGACACAGAAAGCAGGUAUUCCUUAUUUUAUAUUUUUAUAUCUAUUACUUUUGGUAUAUUUAUUUUUUAUAGUUUAUUUUUAUGGACUGCAGAAUGCAUUAAAUUAUGUUAUUGUUAUUCCUACUGAAAUAAUUGUGUUAUUGUCCUUUUAUUUUGGUUCAGUCUGUUUAGAAUUCUGCUUUCCUCAUCAUUGCUGAAUGUGUGAUGCACUGCAUAAUUUUGCAGAAGUUGAAUGUUUAGUUGUAAGCUGUUAAUUUCAGGAACUAGUAUAUGAAUGUUGGAGAUUUUAAUGAUAGUUUGAUUUAGUGAAUUCUAGGACAUUGAAACUUGCUCCACUGUGUAUUCCUCUCUCUUAUCACUGACAUCUAAGGGAUGGCUUUUGCUAAAGUGUGACAACGUGUGCAUAAAAUCAUGAUUUAAGCUUGUUUCCUAUAUUUUUGGGCUUCUUGAACACUUUGAUCAUUUGUCUGAGUUAUAGUCUUUAAAAGUACAGCUCAUGCCUUGUUUGCUUCUUUCUUAUUCUAUGUUUGCGCUUUGGUUUGGGUAGGUCACUUUCCAAUAUUUUAUACUCCCUAUCUCUCUCAAUUUCCUCCCAUGUAUGGUCCUUUGCAUAUUGGGCUCGAACCACAUCCUUUUGGGAGUUUUUGGAGGACUUCUUUUGGUUUGUGUGUUAGUGUGUUGUGGUUGGAUACAUAACUAGCUUUCCUGCAUACAUUAAAUGAAAAAGCUAAGUCUAAGUCUAAACUAUCUGUUGCAUCACUUAAAUGGUAUUUGUCUUCGCUUAUAAGUUGGUCAAACCAGUUUAUAAGCUCUAAAAAUAGGUUUAUCUGUUUGUUUAUAAGAUUUUUUGAGCUUAUAAGCUAAAAAGUAUAAGCUGGGAGGACCGGUUUUCAUUUUAGUGUUUAUAAGCUUUAUGUUUAUAAGCUAGUUUGACCAAUUAUUUUACCAUGUUACCCUUAUUUAAUUUUUAAAGUUUCAUCACGUGUCUCAUUUAAUAUCAUUUCUAGUAAUUUUAACAAUAAAUGUGCUUAUUGGUUAUUUGUUACCGGACAUGUUAAUUAUUUAUUAACCACUUAUAAGCACUUUAACCAAACACAUAAUUGUUUAAGAUUUUAAAUGCUUAUAGGCUUAUAUUAGCUUGUAAGUAUUAAGCGCUUAUAGGCUAAUUUUCGUAAGCUAAGCCAAACACCUUCUUGGAAAAAUGAAAGGAGAUUCAGAAGAAUGAAAGGAUACUAAGUAUGACCUUGAACUUCUUCUAAUUGAUACUGUAAUGAUAGGACCAUCUCUUAGCAUUCUCAAACUUAGGAUACUGAACUGUAUUCUUGUUUUCAUUUUCUGUUAUUUUAUUUGGAAACAUGUUCUUAAUUUUAGAUGUUUGGUUCAUUUGCGGGAAUCAGGAUAGAGUUCUUUAUCUGAGUACUUGAUUAGGCCUCUUUUCAUAUCUGGCUUAUUGAAUGAUAUGCCAUCUCCUUUUCCAUAGCUUUUUCCUUUUAUGGGAAGUGGAGUUGGCGAGAGGGCAAUUGGUGCCUUUUGCAAUUUUGGCUUCUGCCAAUUUUAGAUGAGCGUGGGACUGGGUGGAUGUGGUUGAUGUGCUUAUCCAGGGUAGUUUUCUGCAAACAUAAAGAUAACCCUUUUGGAUUUUAGAAUGUUCAGAUUUAGUGUACUGGUUAAUGGCUUUGGUAUACUUCAGUUAUCUAUCUAGUUGUUAAAUGUGGAUCUACAGCCUUAUUAUACCAGAAAGUAACAAUUUUCAUUUGCUGUCAAUGAAUUGGAUAUUGGUUGUUUCCUGUGUGUUCUAACUUGAUUGGAUUAUGUACUAAUUUAAUAUUUCUUUGCUGAUUUUGAAGAAGUGAUUGAUCAUUAAGUCUGAUCUGUGAGUCAUACUUACGAAUAUUUACUUGCUUAUGUCCUUUCUGUUUUGGUAAAUUAACCUUAUAUGGAGAUGCUUCUUACUUCUAGAGUCCUGCUACGUUACUUUCGCUUCUUCAUCAGUUCUCCAGUGCUUUAAUGUCCAGCUUUGUUGGAUUGUGGCCCUAUGUUGCAUAGGAAAAUCCAAUUUGAAAAUAACCCACCUUGUAUGUGUCAUAGAUUUUUCUCACCCUUUUCAUUCCUCAAGUGUAAUUUUUCAACUCUAAAAGGCUCUAUACUAUUGCUUAAAUGAGAUUUUUCACUACUAGCGUUAGUUUCGUAUAGUUACUUGUGCUAUUGAAUGUCUUGAAAAUUCUGAAUAUUGAACAUUAGAUUGUGGGAAUCGCAGAUGUGCUAGAGCAAUCUUCAGAUGGUCUUUCUGGCAAUUGGGCCAGGCACAGGAACUCAGGUUAUGGGUUUUAAAUGUUUCUUCAUAGACUUUGUGGAAUCAUUUAAAAGCUUGCACUGCAAGAUUGGGUUUCAGUGUUGAGGUUUUGGCCAGGGCAUUGAUGCCGUGCUAUGAUUUCCAUUAUCCUCCACCUUUGAACUUAGUUGCUUAAUAACAUUUAUUCUGUUGCAGAAAUGCUGGUGAGAGUGAUGGGCUUUGCUUAAGAGAAGUUCUUCAUCUUCUGGUGCUUGUGGAAAAAUCAGUGUUCAGUGGGCUAAGAUUGGCCUCUAUUUUUUUUAUCACUGUUUUGCUGGAUAGAUUAUAUGCAUUAUUACAUGAUUGUCUUUAUUAAGAUUUAGGUUUUAGUUGAAAAAUAGGGCUCUUCUAUUUUUGUUGGAGGGUUAGAUUACUAACUUCUGUUUUCUUGUUAUGCUGGAGUCAAAAAUUUUGUGGAACUGUUCCCAAGUUGUUUUGAUUGUCAUCCAUCCUAUUAGAAUAUUUUUAUAACAACAUUAUCUCACUAAUGAAACUCUUUUGUAUGGUCUGCUUGAUUUUGUUCACAUUCAUGAUUGUAAUUCCAUCCUAUUAGACUAUUUCUUUAGGUUGCACUUUCCAGUUGAUGCAUUUUGGUCAUUCCCCUAUUGCCUUCCCCCUUUGCCUUCCUCAUAACAGUGAAUUAGCCAAUGCCCUUUUCUGCAGUGUUGAACUUGAAUGUCAUGAUGAUAUCUUCAUGUGUAAUUUGCUUUUCUGUUGCAUAAUUACUAUAUGUUUAUCAUGUUAGUCAUAAAUAUAAAUUUUUAAACAAUUGCUGUUCUGUUACACAAUUAUAAUAUGUUUAUCACAUCUGUCAUGCAUACAUGUUUUUAAAACGAUUAUAUGACCAUAACCAUAGUUUUACAGGUGCCAUUUUCAUCUUCAUUUGUCUUGAUUUCUUCAAUUUCCAUAUUGGUGAGAGAAUGUAGAUAAUGACAUUAGCUAAAUGCUUCUUUGUAGAGAUGGCCUUAUAAUUUUUUUUUCCUCCUUUUGGGGAUACACUUCUUUAACUGGAAUAUAAGUUGUUAACAGUUUCUAAACUAUUGCUAGUAGGUACUUUGGUAUUGCCAUCGAUACGAUUUGAUGAUGCUGUUUCCAUUUAAGAUUAUUUUAUAUAUAAGGUACAUAUUAAUUUAUUACUUGAACUUGAGUUUUGUACUUGACCAAUUGGUCUCAAUUUUUCCAUUCCUCUUAUCUCUAUGAUUAUUCUCCUGGUUGGUUCUCACUAAAUUUUAACACAUCCUUAAUUUCAGCACAUGCAUUCAUCAGUCCUCUUAUGUUAACUUUGUGUAGUUCCCUGCAGGACUGUGUUGCAAGGGUUCGGCGUCUUUACUCAUAAUCAAGAAAAUUUGAUGCCAUUUUGGGAUUGUUCUUUUAUUCCUUUAAUUUAUUAUGAACAUAUUAUUUUUUAGAAAAGAAAACAAAAGAAAAAGAAAGUUAUUCUUUCUUUUGAAGAGGGAAAAUUUUCUUUAUGCUAUUAUUUGCUUUAUGAAUGCCCUGGAUCCUGCCUUGUUUCUCUGCUGAAACUUUGGUCAGACAGUUAUGAUGAAGAUUUUCAUUUCAUUGUCUUCCAGGAGAAGUAAGGAAAAAAGGGA